ensembl:snoRNA
CUUCUGGUGAUGAAACCUUUGUCCAGUUCUGCUGCUGAACCUGAGCGAUGACAGUUUGGAGAUCUGAGGAGG